rnacentral:lncRNA from 1 species
UGUGAGCCUCUCCUGGGGGUGUCUCCAUAUAAAUACAUCCUUCAUGGUGCCCACUAGAAAUGCAGGAGUUGCUUUUGCAAGGCUUAACCCAGGCUUACUCUGAGUUUGUCCUGACCUACCUAGAGGAGCUAAAUGAAAGAGAGGAGGUGACCCAGACAGAAAACUGUAUUCACCAUGGGGCCUGGUCUGCAGCUCAUCAGGAGAUAGACAGCAGCUCAGCAGAAGAGGUCACAGUAUUAAGCCAGAGGCAGGUCAGAGACAGUCCUUUCAAAAACACAUUUUGAAAAGAGAAAUAUCAGUGUGGAAGUCAGUUUAUUUC